AGCCAAUUUGUACAGAAGGUUCAAACCUUCUAUAUAAAUUGGCUGCUGGAGAGGGUAUAAACCUCAAUUCUGAUAGCCUACCUCAUGUGUUUGUGCUAUCCAUAAUAUUUGAAAGGUCCUGCCUAUUUGAAAGGUCAUAAUUAUUUUCAAUUUACAAGGACUGAACAACAAAACUAACAUGGAUGGUACGCUUGAAAGGCUUUUUCUGCGGGCUAUUUGGGUAACUAAUUUUCCAUCUUUCAUUACAAUAUCAUAGAAAAUUUGGGUUUUCCCCCUCAAAUUUAGUUUUCCUUACGUGCAAGUGCAAUCCAUCAUAGAUAUAAUGACGGAUUGUUCAGUAUAACAGUAUUUCAAAGAAGAAAGAAAAUUGAGCUUGUUAGGUAGCAGUCGAAGCUUUUGAUGUGGUUCCUCAUUUUGGUAUACAUGUCAAACAAGAAAUCCUGUUACGAUUUUAUAUGCACAUAUGUGUUCUGACAUAUCCGAUAGUUGGUCAUUCGAUCGACCUCUCUUGUUAUUUACUCCAUACAGUAAAUAUUUGCAGAGUAUGGGAGCUUUGUAUGUUCAAAUUGGUCUUGGAUAUAUUGGAAUGGUGUUGAAUUUGAAAAUGAUGAAUUUCGGGUCUCGUCUUUCUACAUGUCAGUUUAAAUAUUUGCAGUUAGCAGGGAGGUUUUCUUUGGGAUAUAUAAUAGGCUAGUGCUGAAGCUGGCUCUUUUAUUCGUAAUAUAUAUCGUCUUUCGUAGGAAUUUGGAUUUAUGAGUCUAAUAAAAAAUCAUCAUUUUCCCCUUCUUUUUUUUUUUUUAUAAAAAAAUUAUUAUUCAAAUGGUAAUUGAUAUAAAUUUAGGGAUUUGUUUGUUAUUUUUUAUUUUUAUUUUGCAUUAAAAUAGAAAAAAGUCAUGUUUGUAACUUUUUAUACUCACCUAUGCUUAUGUGUUUUUCGAUCAAAAAUGCUUCUUAUAUGUUUAUUUCCUAAGAUUUUAACACAGCUAAUUUUUAUUGUAACAUUUGAUUUAUUGGUUACUUGAUUUUUAAAUUUUUUGAAUAAUAAUGUACCUAUUUCAUGAUUUAUUAAAAACAGCAUAUCAAAUUUUUUUUAUUUUUAUGAAUGAUAAUAUACCUAUUAAUUUUCUAGUUUACCUGUUAUUUUUAUGGAUAAUAAUAUACCUAUUAUCUUUUUUCAAUAAUAAUUUAUGUAUUAUUUUUUUGUGAUAUUUAAUGUGAAUUUCCAUAUAAUUGACUAAACCCUAGUUAGUCUUUAUGUGCUUAUCGAUACUGUGUUAUGGUGUUGUGUGAUUCAUUACUCGCAAAACAUUAGUUGGUAUAUUAGUAAGUAUAUUAGUAUUAUGUAAAUUGUAUAGGUAAAUAAUUUUAAAGUUUCCAUGCUAUAGUUAAAUAAUUGAAUAAUGCUACUCUUACCAUAUUUAUAUACCACAUCCCUAUACUAUCUUAUGUGGUAGUUGAGCUGAACAGCCACAUCCACUGGCGGAUCUACAGAGGUGCAAGGAGGUGCACCUCCUUUCGCCGGAAAAACCUUUGGAGGUGCUUGAAAAUGCCCCUCUGCUAAUGCCCAUAGCAGCUAUGAUUGCCUUGCGAUGUAAGCUCUAUGAGGCACCGUCAAUGGCUUAUUCCUCUCGAAGAAGAAGACCUAACCCUGACUCAACUUUUGUUUUCCUCUAGGUUUUAAGUGAACGAUAUUAGAUUGAGAUGCGUGGGUUUUUUUUAAUGAAACAAUGUGUUUCGUGUAGUCUGAUUUCAUACAAUAAAGGCACCACCAUUUGGUUUGUAAAAUCCCCUAUUUUACCAAAACUCUGUCUUAUAAUUUAAUUCCAUAUAAUCUCUACCAUUUUCAUUCACCCAAUAGAAUCACUGCACUUAGCCUCUAUUUUAAUGUUUGGAACCUUGCCACUACUAAAGUCAUUUAAUGAAAUCACAAUUUAUGAUCACAAUAUAUAUCUAUAUAUAUUUAUUUAUUUAUUUAUAUAUAUUGUAUAAAAAAAAGUCAUUUUAGUUGUUUUAUAUUUUCUUAAGGUCUGGUAUUUUGUUUCGUCUUCACCACCAUUGUCAGUGUUUCUAUUUUAAUUUUUUAAUUUUUGUUUGUUUGUUAUUUAUUUAUAAUAUGUUUAUUAUUAUAAUAAUAAUUUUUAUUAUUAUUACUGAUUUGGCUCUCUUUGUAAUUUGUAUGAUUAAUACAAUAGCACAUGAAUAGAUGAUCAAUUCCGAUUCAUUUGUUUAAUUGAUAAUUUGAUAUGCAUUUCAAUUAUAUUAAUUGAAAUUAAUUUUUUUAGAUUUUUUUUUUACUAAUUUUUUUAUUUAGAUUAAUCUUCGUUAGAUUCUAAAGGUAUUUGGUUGUUUAAUUAUUUUAUUAUUUUUGAGUUUUUAGUCUUUAUUUAUUGCCCUUUUCCUGAAAAAUUUAUAGAUCCACCACUGAUUGGACAUGACAAAAUAAU
rnacentral:lncRNA from 1 species